rnacentral:lncRNA from 1 species
GAAGGAAAGAGGACAUGCCAUUGUCUUUCAGGAUUUCUAGUUCAGCCGACCCAACCCCAGAACAUUAUGCCAUUUCCUGGUAGGUCUGAGUCGAGCUCUGUGUGAAUUGCCCUCUGAGUCAAAAACCAAGCGAAUGACAUGCUUGUCCGAAGACUUUCUUCUUGCCCUCGCCUCACUUUUUAUUCUUUACUGUCCUUUUGUGCACCUGUUGUGCUAUGCAUUUUAUUCUUAUGUUUUUCUGACUGCUGGGGUUGCUUCCAGAAGGAUACCCUAAGACGGCAGAGAAAUUAAUGCAUCCAGGGACUUCAAGCAGAAAAAUCCAUCUGACCUGGUGACAGUUGGUAAGCAUUAGAGAAAAUCUCAUUUACUUGAGAACCAUAAGUUUGGCAAUUUCAUUUCUGCUUACUUCACUGCCCUACCCAAAGCUCCAGGUUCAAUCAAAGAGAGGAGGAAAAAGCAACUUCACCCAAUUUGGUCAUAGAGAGGGCUUUAAAGCCCAUAGCAAGUCUGUUCAGAGGAAAGGAACUAUAAGAAAAAUAUCUCAUUGUUGUUGGUCCAAAUCCGACUUCCGGAUGCCCUAUUGCAUUUUAAUGAAAACCUGAAGCCAGGUCCCAGAUUUCCUUUUCAGCUGAUGGAUGCGGUGUUCCGCUGCAGAAGAAAGCACACAUUCUUUCUGCCUUUUCUCCUUCCAGCUGCUUUAUUGGGUGCUUUAUCUCAACCACUUACCAUUGUUUUAUGAUGAAGGCUUCAUCAUAAAAACCUCAAGUCUUUUUAUCUUGCUGCUCUGCCAUUCCUAACUGCUGCUGCUAAGUUGCCUCAAUCGUGUCUGACUCUGUGAGACCCCAUAGACGGCAGCCCACCAGGCUCCCCCGCCCCUGGGAUUCUCCAGGCAAGAACACUGGAGUGGGUUGCCAUUUCCUUCUCCAAUGAAUGAAAGUGAAAAGUGAAAGUGAAGUCGCUCAGUCGUGUCUGACCCUCAGCAACCCCAUGGACUGUAGCCCACCAGGCUCCUCCAUCCAUGGGAUUUUCCAGGCAAGAGUACUGGAGUGGGGUGCCACUGCCUUCUCCGGCCAUUCCUAACUAGUAUAUACAUUAAGCUUUUGAGUCUUUUUCUUUCACUUACAUAGUGCAUUGGGAUAUAGAACACUGUUUGUAUCAACAGCCUGUCUGUUUUCAUUAUCAAAUAGUAUUCCAUUCUAUGGAUGUACUACAUUUUUAUUUAGCUUUUUCCCAGUUGACGGACUUUGGAGUUGUUUCAAGAUUUUAGUGAUUAAAUUGAUAUAAAUAUUUAUUUAGAGGAUUUUGCAUGAAUAUAGGCCUAUCAUUUCACUUUGGUAAAUAUCUAGUGGAAAAUUGGGCCAUAUGGAGAAGUGUAUAUUGAAUUUUACAAUAUCUGUGAAACUGAGAGUUGCAGUCCCACUAUGCACUCCCGUCAACAAUAUACAAGAAUUCUGGUUGCUCUGCAUCCUCAUCAGAAUUUGAUAUCAUCAGAUUUUUCCAACCAUUAUAUCAAGUGUAUGAUAGUAUCUCAUUGUGGUUUUAAUUAGCAUUUUACUAAUGAUUAGUGGAACUGAGAUAGAUUAGUAUCUUCUGCUACAAGUCCUGUGUCAGACAUAUGAUUUGGAAAUAUUUUCUCCCAGUCUGUAUCUUUUUAUUCUGUCAACAGUUUUGUUUGCAGAGCAAAUGUUUUUAAUUUUGAUAAAGCCCAAUUUAUUUAUUCUUUUAUAAAUUGUGGUUUGGAUCUUAAAAUUGAACAUUUAUAUGUUAAAAGCCAAAUUUAUAAAAAGAACAAAAGAAUAAAUUCCUCCUAACAACAACA